AACGAACGCUGGCGGCAUGCCUAACACAUGCAAGUCGAACGCUCAUCUUCGGAUGGGAGUGGCGCACGGGUGAGUAACGCGUGGGAACCUGCCCUGGGGUGGGGGAUAACCGAUGGAAACGUCGGCUAAUACCGCAUACGUCCUGAGGGAGAAAGAUUUAUCGCCCUGGGAGGGGCCCGCGUCGGAUUAGCUAGUUGGUGGGGUAACGGCCUACCAAGGCGAUGAUCCGUAGCUGGUCNGAGAGGAUGAUCAGCCACACUGGGACUGAGACACGGCCCAGACUCCUACGGGAGGCAGCAGUGGGGAAUAUUGGACAAUGGGCGCAAGCCUGAUCCAGCAAUGCCGCGUGAGUGAAGAAGGUUUUCGGAUUGUAAAGCACUUUCGGCGGGGGACG
rnacentral:rRNA from 1 species